CGGACGGGUGAGUAACGCGUGAGAAUCUAGCUUCAGGUCGGGGACAACCACGGGAAACUGUGGCUAAUACCGGAUAUGCCGAGAGGUGGAAGGCUAGCUGCCUGAAGAUGAGCUCGCGUCUGAUUAGCUAGUAGGUGUGGUAAAAGCGCACCUAGGCGACGAUCAGUAGCUGGUCUGAGAGGAUGAUCAGCCACACUGGGACUGAGACACGGCCCAGACUCCUACGGGAGGCAGCAGUGGGGAAUUUUCCGCAAUGGGCGAAAGCCUGACGGAGCAAUACCGCGUGAGGGAGGAAGGCUCUUGGGUUGUAAACCUCUUUUCUCAGGGAAGAAAAAAAUGACGGUACCUGAGGAAUAAGCAUCGGCUAACUCCGUGCCAGCAGCCGCGGUAAUACGGAGGAUGCAAGCGUUAUCCGGAAUGAUUGGGCGUAAAGGGUCCGCAGGUGGCCGUGUAAGUCUGCUGUUAAAGAAUCUAGCUCAACUAGAUAAAAGCAGUGGAAACUACACAGCUAGAGUGCGUUCGGGGUAGAGGGAAUUCCUGGUGUAGCGGUGAAAUGCGUAGAUAUCAGGAAGAACACCAGUGGCGAAGGCGCUCUACUAGGCCGCAACUGACACUGAGGGACGAAAGCUAGGGGAGCGAAUGGGAUUAGAUACCCCAGUAGUC
rnacentral:rRNA from 1 species